UACGAAGGUGGCAAGCGUUGUUCGGAUUUACUGGGCGUACAGGGAGCGUAGGCGGUUGGAUAAGCCCUCCGUGAAAUCUCCAGGCUUAACCUGGAAAGUGCAGAGGGGACUGUUCAGCUAGAGGAUGGGAGAGGAGCGCGGAAUUCCCGGUGUAGCGGUGAAAUGCGUAGAUAUCGAGAGGAACACCAGUGGCGAAGGCGAGUCUCUGGACGACACCUGACACUGAGGCACGAAAGCUAGGGGAGCAAACAGG
rnacentral:rRNA from 1 species